UGCAGCAUGUGUAAGUUCCUGGGCUAGGGGUUGAAAGGGAGCUGCAGCUGCCAGUCUACACCACAGCCGCAGCAACACCAGAUCCUUAACUCACUGAGCAGGACCAGGAAUCAAACCCGCGUCCUCAUGGAUACUAGUCAGGUUCGUUACCACCGAGCCACAAGGGGAACUGUGAGUAGAUCUGUAUAUAUUAGUAUGGAAACAUGUUUAUGACAUAUUUGAAGCUGAAGAAAGACUAGCAUGAUCCCAUUUCUGUUCUUUACAAACCAGCCCACAAAGGGCCGUAUUCAUGUGGAGGAUAGACACACCGAACCAUAAACAGUGAUUACAGCCGGGGAGCUGGAGGGAAGAGCUUUCGCUUUUCUACGUACACUUGUCUUUUCUUUUUCCAUUUUUUUUUAAACGAGUCAGUAUACUUUUGCAAUUAAUUUUAUAUCAGAAAGAAUUCCACUUUAUGCUUCAGGGCAACGUUCCACUUCCCCAACCAUUUCUGAACACUCAGACCAUUCAGUCCCACUGACAGGUCGGCGGGGCAGCAUUGAGGGCGCCCCUCCCAGACUGGCCUGUGUGUUCUGCACUGCCUGGAACAGAGCAGCUCUUUAAGCUCUCAACCGGCUGUAAACAACACCUGCCGAAAAAAGCUCUUAAGACACAAAGGAAUCAUGGAAAGAGAGCGCUGGAGAUAACCUCCUUUUUCCAGUUGGUCUGCAGUGAGAUCCACCCCACCGUUGCACGUUGGGUGAGUCAACUCAACCGGAGGUCCUAUCUGCUCCCUCACCCCCACCGCCCCAGCCCUCGCACCACGCCCCCAUUCAAAGGGCCUGGUGCUCUGAAAAGUACGCUGACCCACCAGCUUUCUUCUCUUUCUGUACAUCUCUGAUUUCAACUUAGAAACACAUUUUUUAUACUCCACAGCUUGCUUCUUAGUUCCAAGAAGUGCUCCCUGCAAGUCUGCUAGGUCUUGCAGAGGCUUUCCCUGGCCCCCGGGACCCCGGCUGAGCUUGACUCCUGGGUGGGCGCCCACCAGGCCCUCUCUACACAGCUCCGGAGCUGAUCCUAUGCCUCUAUCUGUGUGGGCCCCAGAGCAGAGCGCAGCAGGAAGCAACACCUUCUGCUGCAGGUCACACUCACUCCACGGGGGCAGGGUGAUUCAAUACGUGAAAGCAAAAUGUAUGUUCUUCAUCAACAGAUGAGUGGAGAGACAAAGGGAGGGGGUGAUGGACUAUUACUCAGCCUUAAAAAGGAAAGGAAUUCAGACACAUGCCGCAACACAGACAGAUGAACCCUGAAAAAGUUAGGCUAAGUAAAAGGAGCCAUUGACCAAAGGGCAAAUAUGGGAUAAUGAAACUUCCAGGAGGAACCCAGACUGAUCAAAGUGAAAUGGAAAGUGGAUGGCAGUUGUCAGGGCCUGAGGCGGGAGAACAGGGAGUGUGUUUAACGGGUGCAGGGUUUCAACUUGAUAACGUGCUGGAGGUGGAGAGCAGGUGCACGAGACCGCGAAUGCACUUAAUGCCACUGGACUGGACACCAAAAAUGGUCACAAUGGCAAAUGUUAUUUCUGUGUAUUCUACCACAACAAAAUAAACAGUUGUUGAGAAAACCUGUGCUUAGGAGCUCCUCUGUGGCACACAGGAUCUGUUGUCGUCACCGCAGCAGCUCGGGUUGCUGCUGUGGCUCAGGUUUGAUCCCUGACUCAAGAACUUCCACAUGCCGUGGGCGUGGUCAAAAGCAAAAGACAAAAACACCUGUAUUUAAAGUUGUGAAAACUUAUUUAAAAAAAAAAAAAAAGGAGGAAAAAGGGAAAAAAAAAGAAAUUAACAGGGGCUAGGCAAGAAUCAUGGGAGGGAAUGAGCUCUCCGGCUGAAGGGAUUCCAAAGGCCUCUUUAAGGAGGUGCUUGCCCUCCCCCCACCAGGCCAUGAGCUCCAGGACACAAGUGGGGCACCCACAUCCGUGUCGUCAGAACGGUAUGUUUUAAGACACCUGUUCAGACCCAAACCGGGAAAUGAGGUCAGACCCUAAGCCUCACACAUCAAAGCGCUUCACCAGGACUGAGACACCCAGAAUUCAGCGGCCCAUGAAGGAAGC
rnacentral:lncRNA from 1 species